UGCAUCCCGAGCCACCUGCACACCCGGUGCUCUGUCAGUACUGAGUGGCCCUUUGAGGCUUGAGAUUUGUCUCCAGGCAGACCUGGCUCACAUCCCCAUCACCUAAUUCACUGUAGGCAUGCUGCCUUGGAAGGGUUACUUAAAAUAUGAGCCAGGCUUUCCCCAUUUCUAAACAGUGGAUAGCAAUAUUCAUCCCACAAGGUGAUUUUCAGGAUGUGAUCAAACAAGGGGCAGAAAGCAAUUCGUGCAGCGCUCAGGCUACUGAUGUCCAGUCAAGGACUGCUGUUAUCGCUGGUGCUCUCCCUGCACUAACAUUCCUCAGUGCUUCUCAGAACCCUGACCAUGGAUGUUCCCUCCCCCCUUGUGGUCAGACCUGUCCCAGCCCUCUGGCCCCUCCCUCCCUCCAGCCUCUCUCUCACCAGUACCCGCAGGUGCCUCAGGGAAGCAGAGGCUCAGAUCUUAAUCUGCCCUCUGCCACCAGCCAGCCAGUCUUCUCCCAGCAGGUGCAGUCCUGGGGUCCCCCUGGGCUUUCUCGCCCUGGUGGGAAGGAGAAUCAUGCUGGGUCCACUUGCCUUCCUCUGUGCCCUCCUGUUUCCCAGUGGCCAUGCAGAGAUCAGACUGGAGCAGCCAGCUGUAGUCGUGGCACGUGAGAGCGGCUCGGCUUCCCUGCUCUGCACAGCCAAAACCAAGGUCAACUACAUCCACUGGUACCGCCACCAGGAGGGGAAGGCUCCCCAGAGGCUCCUCCGCCGGGCCAUGUACCAGUCAGAUGUCUGGUGGGAUACAGUCGAGAAAGCGGACAAAGUCACUGCCACAGAGGCCAAGGAUGGCACCAGCUGCACCCUGUCGGUGCUGAAGCUGGAGAAGAGCGACGAGGGCGUGUACUACUGCGCUGCCUGGGAAACACACAGCCACUCCUGCUCCCCUGGUCCCAGUGCAAAAAGGUCUCUGACUCUGGGCCCACCAGGCCUGGCACUUUCUACAGCCUCUGGGUCUCUGGGGUUGCCCUGGGGUCAGCCCUCAGCACCCAGGACUCUUGCUAACGCCCCCUCCAUGGGGCAACUGUGCAGAACCCUGGAGGCUCAGGAGCCCCGGGGCCCAGGCUGGCGCAGACCCAGGGAGCUGUCCUGUCCGGAGGGACUUCUCUGAAGAUCGUCCAGCGCGGCGUUUCUGAAGCAUCUGGAGCAGAAUCUGUGCUGCUCACGGCAGGAGCCACGAGCCACUAGCCACACGUGGCUCCUGAGCACGUGAAAUGUAGCUAGUCCACUAGUCCAAGCAGAGAUG
rnacentral:lncRNA from 1 species